GAUGAACGCUGGCGGCGUGCCUAAUACAUGCAAGUCGAGCGAACGGACGAGAAGCUUGCUUCUCUGAUGUUAGCGGCGGACGGGUGAGUAACACGUGGAUAACCUACCUAUAAGACUGGGAUAACUUCGGGAAACCGGAGCUAAUACCGGAUGAUAUUUUGAACCGCAUGGUUCAAAAGUGAAAGACGGUCUUGCUGUCACUUAUAGAUGGAUCCGCGCUGCAUUAGCUAGUUGGUAAGGUAACGGCUUACCAAGGCAACGAUGCAUAGCCGACCUGAGAGGGUGGUCGGCCGCACUGGAACGGAGACACGGUCCAGACUCCUACGGGAGGCAGCAGUAGGGAAUCUUCCGCAAUGGGCGAAAGCCUGACGGAGCAACGCCGCGUGAGUGAUGAAGGUCUUCGGAUCGUAAAACUCUGUUAUUAGGGAAGAACAUAUGUGUAAGUAACUGUGCACAUCUUGACGGUACCUAAUCAGAAAGCCACGGCUAACUACGUG
rnacentral:rRNA from 1 species